UUGUUUACCAAUAUAUUUGCAAACGCUAUCCAACACUUGACAAAUAAAAACCGAAUGUUUUAGUUUCCGGACUUAGGUAAACAAUCCCAAAAGAAUGUCUUAAAAGGAUUGCAUAUGUAUUAAGUAGUCUCUUCCUCACAAUCUUCCUAAUGAUAAUGUAUCAUUGGAAGAACAUGUUAGAAAAAGUCUAUCAUGAAGAGGACAACACAAACAACCAAUGCUUAAUCCUUUGUUAAAUGAACAAAGGAACUUACGAAGAUUAGCAAAAUGACAAGGACACUUUUAGUGUUAUUAUUUUUUCACUUACAAAUCGUUGUAUGAAGAAAUAAUAGUUGCUUUGAACAACCCUUAGUCAAUGCAAACACUAGUGCUUGUUUAUUUGUUAAAUGAACAAAGAACUUGAGAAGUAAGCACAAGGGCAUGGACACUUUAUG
rnacentral:lncRNA from 1 species